rnacentral:rRNA from 1 species
UACAGAGGGGGGCAAGCGUUGUUCGGAAUUACUGGGCGUAAAGGGCGCGUAGGCGGCCGCCUAAGUCAGACGUGAAAUCCCUCGGCUCAACCGGGGGAACUGCGUCUGAUACUGGGUGGCUUGAAUUCGGGAGAGGGAUGCGGAAUUCCAGGUGUAGCGGUGAAAUGCGUAGAUAUCGGGAGGAACACCGGUGGCGAAGGCGGCGAGCCUGGGUCGAUACUGACGCUGAGGUGCGAAAGCGUGGGGAGCAAAGCAGGAUUGAGACUACCCGACGU